rnacentral:lncRNA from 1 species
ACAAAUGUUUCAAAGACUACACUCAUGAUCUUAUUAUCCAUGAACUUUGUCUUGCUCACUAUGCUUAAAGUUAGAGAAGAACAAAUACACUUUUGGUUCUGUUGGUGUUUUCCACCAACAGAGCCCAUGCACUUGAUCUCUGCCUUGUCUCUAUGAACAGGUACACUUCAAGCAAAACAUGGAGGAGUUUUACAACUCCCAGACUCCACCAAGUGAAGGACCUGGAUCUAUGAGCACAAACACACUGAGCAGGAUAUUGCCAACACCAUACUUCGAACUACUGGGCAAAGAAGAACAUGGGUAACACCGUAUCAAGAGGUGCAGACGUCAAGGUCCACACCUAAUUAAAUGAUGCACCUAAAGGAUGAAGAUGGUGGAAAGUCUUGUCUAGAAGACUUAAAACAUUGGAUCCUUGUCGGAAGAGGUCAACAUCGUCGACUCAGGUCACCUUUCUUGAUCAAGAAGGACGACCCUGGUGUUCCAAGCAUCGAGUGCGCAAUCAAUGGAUACUCUUUUUAGAAGACACUCUACGACACCGGAUCUGACGACAACAUAAUGGCCGCAGUCACUUAUCAGCUCCUGCAUGGAACCAUGCCCCUACAACCAAUAUAUUCAGCUCCAGAUGAUUUUCAGGUCAUUGACAUGGGAGAAGACGAGUAUGAUCCACCCACCAUCCUUGGAAGACUGUUCCUCAACACUAUCAAAGCAAUCAUCUACAUUGGAACCGGAUAAGUCCACAUGUACUUCCCCUCUGAGAAGGUACGCAACUAUUUUACUGACCAUAACUAUAUAGUUGAAGACUCUAAGCAGGUCAGGACAAGAAGACGAUGCAACCGCAACCAGAGGAGGCAAAUCAUCGAGAACGGAUGGGUAGACUACGAAGGAGAAGUGAUAAGGACUGAAGACAUACAGCUUGAACAGAAGUAUCCUGAGGAGACUGUAGCACCGAGUCAGGUGUAGAGGGAGAAGAUAGUUAUACACAAAGAGAGGCGCCGCCGGAAUCACCGACUACGCCACCUAGUGAAUCCCAGGACGACUGAGAAAACAGAGAGUCCCGUUCGGAGGACAUAAAAAUACCGAACGCCUUGCCAAGAGGUAAACUUGGUAGUUACCCUUUCUUUUCAAUUAUUCAAUUAUAAUUUGCUUAGUUAAUCAGGUUCAUGCUAUCUUGAAAAGAAAAUAAAAAUGUUAAAAAAUAGUAAGCCCCAUGUGAGUAUGCUCCUAGCAUAAAACCCAUAAGUACAUUCACUGUGGUGGCAUAAAAAUAAAAUAAAUAAGUUUUCAUCUUACAAUAAAAAUAUAUAUAAAAAAAUAAAUAUAUAUAAUAAUAAUAAGUGUAUGAUCCUGCUAAAUAAAUAACAUUUAUUAAGGAAGCUCAACAUGAUGAAGGCUAGAUAUUUAUGCUAACACUUAAUUAGUUCCACAAGCUUUGUUGUCUAUUUGAGCUCCACAGAAUUUAUGAAUCAAGAAGACUAGCAGACGGAGGACAUUCUAAUCGCUAUCAGAAUGCUGCUGACUUUCAAAUACACCUCUGCCACCUGCUAGCUACAUCAAGAGAAAUUACGUCAAAAUUCAGCUUGGGGGAGAGCACCCCCAUUUAUCUCGCUAAGUAUUUCUACCUAUCUUUAUACUUAUAUUAUGUUAGAAUAUUAAAAUACAUAAACUAUGAAAAACCAAAUAAAGAUUUUGUGCUUAUAUAUAUAUCUUUUGCUUAGUAUGUUUAAUAAAUAAAUAAAGUGGCUAUGCUAAUCUGAAUCUUAAUAAUAAAACUCUAGCAUGAAUAUGAUGAAUAGUUGCUCUGCCUAAUUUGCAAUUUUGAAGUUCCCUCUCAAGUUUAGACAUAACUGUUAUAAUUUAAAGCUUGCUCUAGAUCUAAACUUGUGGGAUGAAAACUUGAUCUGAAAUCUAAGUUGUUAACGGAUAUGAUAUGGGAAGGUUGAGCUGCUGUUUAUCUGUUCCUAGAGAUGCUAGAAUUCUGGAAAAUUUUAUCUUGAAAAAUCUUUAAAAUAUUGCAUGAUGAGUUCCUGUAUGAUGAGAGUUUAAAUUCCUACCACAGCCAUAUAUACAUGCUUGCUAGACUUUGAGCCACACAUUUAGUAUUUACUGCUUAUGAGCAUUGAGUGUGGUCAAGCUGUGUAGACCCUUAGGAGCUUGUCAUGCGGUUAAAUCAAGAUUCACUUGCACGUUCACUCAUAUACGCUACUUCUACUCCGGAAGAACCAUCCACAUAUAUCCAUCCAUUUCCAUCUCCAGAAUCACCCAAAAAUAUUCUACUCCUAAUCCGGGAGAGAAUAGUCAAAAACAUUUUUCCUAUCACUGUUAUUCUCUGUGAAAUAAAUGCUCCAAAUAUUUUGGUUACUACCACUUGCUAUAUUAUCUCAAGAGAUGAGUGCUCUGAAAAAAAAAGAGAGAAGAAAAAAAAAUAUAUAAACGAGGAAAUAAAAAGGGGCAAGUGCCCGGAACCUCGAAAGAAAGAAAAAGUGAGAUGAGAGGUAAAAAUGGACAAGUGUCUGACAGUAGAAUUAGGGGUACAAGAUACCCACCUGAAAAAAAAAGAGAGAGAGCAUCUCAUUCUCCUCAUAAAGUUUCAAAAAGCAAGGAAGGUAUGUAUCCCCUCAAAAGAGCAAAAGUAGAAUUAGACUUUCACCAUUGUUAUUACCAUCAUCACCAUACACCAUUCAUUCGCCACACAUGCACAUCUUGAUUUGGCUUAUUGAUUUGUUUCUCUGGAUCCAUGGUUUGACUAUGCAAUAAAUGACUUGUAAGUAUGUAUUAGCUGUCUCCCACCUAUGAGCUCCAGAUAUCAAGCCUUAUUAGAGUAGGGUGAGAGAGAAGGCAAUGUCACUAUGCCUUAUACCACAAAUACCACAUAUCUUGAGAGAAGGCAUAUACCAUCAAUGCCUUGGUAAGGAUCCAGAAAUACCACAAAAGAGAGAUAUGAGAGAGUCAUACAAGGAAUCUCUGAGUUUUAUUUGAAAAUCUGCAAAAAAAAACCCAGAGCUAUAGCUGAUCAAGAAUAAGAGACAUGGCACUUGGCAAGACUGUUCUAUCUUUUAACCUCUCAAGACAGAAGUGACAGUUACAAG